AUCAUCUGACGAGUCCCAAAUAGGAUGAAAUGUGCAUCCUGGAU
rnacentral:hammerhead_ribozyme from 1 species